UGCGAAGGGGGCUAGCGUUGCUCGGAAUCACUGGGCGUAAAGGGUGCGUAGGCGGGUCUUUAAGUCAGGGGGGAAAUCCUGGAGCUCAACUCCAGAACUGCCUUUGAUACUGAAGAUCUUGAGUUCGGGGGAGGUGAGUGGAACUGCGAGUGUAGAGGUGAAAUUCGUAGAUAUUCGCAAGAACACCAGUGGCGAAGGCGGCUCACUGGCCCGAUACUGACGCUGAGGCACGAAAGCGUGGGGAGCAAACAGG
rnacentral:rRNA from 1 species